rnacentral:rRNA from 1 species
AUUGAACGCUGGCGGAAUGCUUUACACAUGCAAGUCGAACGGCAGCACGGUGGCAGCCCUGUUUUCGAGUGGCGAACGGGUGAGUAAUACAUCGGAACAUGCCCGUUCGCUGUGUAUAACGUAGCGACAGUUACGCUCAUACCGCAUACGAUCUGAGGAUGAAAGCGGGGGACCUUCGGGCCUUGCGCCCUCGGAGCGUCCGAUGUCGGAUUAGGUAGUUGGUGGGGUAAAGGCCUACCAAGCCGACGAUCUGUAGCUGGUCUGAGAGGACGACCAGCCACACUGGGACUGAGACACGGUCCAGACUCCUACGGGAGGCAGCAGUGGGGAAUUUUGGACAAUGGGCGCAAGCCUGAUCCAGCCAUUCCGCGUGCAGGACGAAGGCCUUCGGGUUGUAAACUGCUUUUGUAGGGAACGAAAAGGCUCUGGCUAAUACCUGGGGGUCAUGACGGUACCGUAAGAAUAAGCACCGGCUAACUACGUG